rnacentral:rRNA from 1 species
UGGAGGCAGCAGUGAGGAAUCUUGCGCAAUGGGCGAAAGCCUGACGCAGCAACGCCGCGUGGAGGAUGAAGGCCCUUGGGUUGUAAACUCCUGUCGGCUGGGAAGAAAUCGCGCGGGGUUAAUACCUCCGCGCGUUGACUGUACCAGCAAAGGAAGCCCCGGCUAACUCUGUGCCAGCAGCCGCGGUAAUACAGAGGGGGCUAGCGUUAUUCGGAAUUAUUGGGCGUAAAGGGCGCGUAGGCGGCCACGCGUGUCUUUCGUGAAAUCCCUCGGCUUAACUGAGGACGUGCGGAAGAAAUUGCGAGGCUCGAGUCCGGGAGAGGGGGGUGGAAUUCCCAGUGUAGCGGUGAAAUGCGUAGAUAUUGGGAGGAACACCGGUGGCGAAGGCGGCCCCCUGGACCGGUACUGACGCUGAUGCGCGAAAGCGUGGGUAGCAAACGGGAUUAGAUACCCCGGUAGUCC